rnacentral:tRNA from 1 species
AGCUUGGAAGGUAAGGCGCCUUGUAAGCGCUAGGUUGCGGGUUCGAUUCCCGCCCGGGAUG